CAGAAAGACAGUGCCGUGGCUUGGGUCUCCUUACUGCGGUGAUGGAAGUCAGCUCUUUCCACAGGAAGGGGCGGGAUUAAGGACGAGGGCUGGCAGACAUCUCCGAGGGGCUGCAAUGUUUGGUUUUCCCGCCCAAGUCCUCCUGGAGGCCCGGGGACCGCAUGUGGCUGUGGGAGUCUUUGCAAAUGGGUGACAAGAAGAGAGGACCACAUUGCGGUGGAAAGCUGGGUAUUGGUGAGGUUCUCUUCAGUGACUUUUCAUCACAUAGUGCAGCUCCAGAGGUCUUCUCCUUCCUGGUGUCUUUAUCUGUGCUGUUGUAGCUGCCCUGGUGUCCUGAAUCAGUUCACAAUGUUUACCUUUCACGGUCAUUUUCGCUUUGGGGAAGAGCCAGAAGUCACAGGAUGCUCG